UUCCAGAAUCAUAUAACAGUUUGUUUUAUAUA
rnacentral:piRNA from 1 species